rnacentral:sRNA from 1 species
ACUAUAUAACCAUUCAAUUCAUAUCUAGGAUAAGUAAUAGGAAUUAACUUUUUAAAAGAGGCUAGGCAUGCUAUUUCCUUUACUAUGUUCCUAGUAUUACACUUGUAUGAUGAAUACAUUUUAAUCUUCUUAAUUUUGCAACAACACAAAAAAUGACCCCCCCCCCCUUCUUGCCCCACCCCUUCGAUAAGCAGUGGGGAGGGAUGAAGGGGCAUUAUAGACUAGUCCCCAUUCAGCAUGCUGGAAACAAUUUUAUGUUUUGAUGAGUGGCCAGGGAGAAGUCAUUCUAAGUCCCAAGAGUUUCACAUGUAGCAGCUCAUAUUAGUGUACACAUAUUUUUUUUUAUUUUAUCAUUACCUGUACCUAAGUGCUGUCAUGUGUAUAAAAUUUAUGUUUAUUUAUUUGAUUCAAAGCCAUGUAACAUAAUAGCAUCCCUUUUCAAAUUCAACAAAGGAAAAAGAAAUGUUCUGUGUACUGCUGUUCAAACUGCUCAUGAAAAAAACUAAAAUGAUCAAAUUGAAUGACAAGGUAUAUAAAAACAUGUUUCUUUUUUUAACCACACUUUUUGGGGGAGGGGGGGGGGGGGGGGGGGUAGGUGUUUCUGCACAUUAAGAUUUCAUUGUUGUUUUACCCAAUAUUUUUUUUUCACACAAAAGUGAUGGGCUUUGUUAAAAUAUUGCACAAUAAAAAUAAAGAAUUCAAAGAAGAUUUUUGAAUAAAGAUUAAUGACUUCAUAAUUAUCUAAAUUGUUAAGUAGUUAUCAGUUUUUGUACAGCUUGUUAUACAUGUAGGAAAACCUUUUUGAGUGUAGAAAGCAUGCAGAAAGAAUAAAAGACCUAAAUUGCUGAGUACUAUAUUCAUGGAAUUUUUUUAUUUGAUUUUGAAUUGAUAUGAGUGUGGUGAAAUAGCAGUUUGAUAACAUAAGCUUUUAUUGUAGCAUUUGUAGUACUUUUAACAGUUUCAGUACUUUGAUUUUCAGUGGAUUGUGUAAACAGCUGAUUGUGAAUGCAUAGCUCAUUCAGAUCUGAUGUAAUUAUUGUAAUUCAUUACUUUAUUUCAUGAUAUUUAUAAUUGUAUUCAUACAUACAGUACAGUAAUGCAAUGUUGAAUACGCCUUAAUGCUUAAGUGAAAGUAAAUGGCAAUAAAACUCAGAAAU